AAUUGAGGUAACAUUGGUUUAUGACAUGUUUCAUGUGUACCUUAUAGAUUGACUUCUAUAGACACUGCAGUGGGUUCACCACCCGAAACUUAGUUUCCAUCCAUCGCCCUACAGCUCACCCCCUUUAGGCAUUUUGCCCUCCACCAUUUCCCUCUAGUAUCCACUACCCCAUUGUCUGUAUCCAUGGGUCUGUUCUGGUUUAUGCUUGGUUUGUUCAUUUCUUUUGUUUUAUUUUAAUGCCAUUUACGAGUGAAAUCGUCGACUCUUUGUCUUUCUCUGUCUGACUUAUUUCAUUUAGAAUACCCUCAAGGUCCAUCCAUGUUGUUGCAAGUGGCAAGAUUUCAUCUUUUCAUGGCCAAGUAAUAUUCCAUUGCCUACAAACAACACCACAUCUUUAGCUAUUCAUCCAUAAGGGGACACUUAGGCUGUCACAGCCUGUGCUCUGGAAUCAAAUUUCCAAAUGAGGUGUCAGCAGCUGGGAAGAAAACCUCCGUGAACCCCAGGUUCAUGGCGGCACUAUUUACAGUAGCUCAAAUAUGGAAACAGCCUAAGUGUACUGGCUAUUGUACUGGCUAUUGUAUUGGCUGCAAUGAACAUUGAGGUGCAUGUAUCUUUUCAAAAUAGAGUUAAAGCUCAAGGCUCUUCUGAGCAUUAGUCCCUCAGCCAAUGUACAGGUCACACAUCCAUGAAGCAGGUGAGAUUGGACAGAGGAGUGUGGAGCCCCAGAAGCCAGGAGAAAAAACAUGUUUCAAAGAGAAGAGAAUGGCUGGUUAACUGGGUCAAGGACAUGAGCCAGCUGGCCUGAGGACAGACCAUCGGAUGUGACCAGGUUGAUGCCACUGUGUUGAUGAGAGUAGCUCCUAGCACGGGGUGGGGACAAAAGCCCUGACUGGCUGGGUUCAAGCAGGAAGAGAGAAAGUAGACAGAGUGGGGAGGUGGACAGCUUUGGAGGGGGUUUUGCUAUAAUGAAGAGCACGAUCCAGAGGCUGUUAUGGAAUCAAAGCAGGGAUUAUUAUUAUUCAUUAUUGUUAUCGCCUAUUUGUAUAUUGAUGAAAUUAUUCUAUAGAGACUAGAACAUUCAUAAGGCAAGAAAGGAAGGGGAGCCUUGGCAGGAGAGGUGUCCUUGAGCAGCAGGUGUGUGGAAGGAGUUGACCUUCUGUGGGGGGAUCGUUGGUUCAUGGGGUGAGGAAGGAAGCCCAGCCUAGGCCUGGCGGGGCUGGGCAGAAUUCUUGUCCUGACAACUACCAUCUCAGGGAAAUGGGCAGUAAUGCCAGAGCAUCUAUGGGAUGGGGGGGGCACCCUCGGACUUCUUCCAUUUUAUCUCACUUUUUUAUUGCUUGUUGAACCCACUACAUUGGCUUCUUGAACCACAAAUGAAUCUUGACCUGGCGUUUGUAAAACACUGGAUGUCUAAUGACAAUGGAGAUGGACCAGUUCCUGGAGGCAGUGAUGGGGGCAGGUUAGAUGCAGUGAUGCGGGCAGGUUAGAUGCAGUGAUGGGGGCAGGUUAGAUGCAGUGAUGCGGGCAGGUUAGAUGCAGUGAUGGGGGCAGGUUAGACGCAUACCUCUUACCUGAGAUAAGAAAAGUUCCUUUUUAAGGCAGGUCGAGUUGGAGUUUCCCUCCCUUGCUGCCAAAAAGCAUCAGGACUGAAUUAUAGGACGAGGCUACAGCAGUGCAAGAGGUCUGGCAGCCAGGCUGUACCCACCAAGAAGACCUUCAUGACCCCGGAACUGGGGAGGGGGGCUGGAGACCUAGGAGGUUCUAUGGGGCACCCGAAAGUGGAGCAAGGACCCAAGAUGUACCAUCAGGCCAUUUCCCAUCAGGUAACGUGGUAUUCUCGGCUGAGUAUACCAGCUGGAGAGUGGAACGGCCCCUACCGGGGUCUGACCCCACCAUGUAUUAGCUAUGUUCCCUCAGACACCUCUGUAUCAGCUUCCUUCUCUGCCGUGUGAGGAAACACCUGCCUCCAGGGCUACCAGGUGGACCAAUGAAGUCAUCCUUGCCAAAUGUGGAGCACAAAGCCUGGCGAUGCUGAGAAAGUGCCUCGUAUGAAUAUUAUUCUCCUUCCUCUGCUACCUGGUGGCCAUGUCCUCCCACCCUCCACUUCCCUCCAUUCCUCCCUGUCUGACUUCCACACGUCCUUGAAGAGGCAAACUUAGGCAUCACCUCCUCCACGAAGCCCUCCCUGCUUUCCUCCCAUCCCAGGUCUGGGUAGAUGCCUUCUUUGUGCUUCUCCCAGCUGAAGUUUUGAAAUCUGCCUCCCAGCGCCUAUGACAGCAGGUGGCACAUGAUAGGUUCUCAGUGAUGGUUGAGCAAAUGAGGGAGUGAACGAACGAGUGGACAAAGCGGGGACUGGGUUUUAGGAACAAGGUAGAGAUUUACUCAUCAAAAUUGGGGAUCGAGGGGCAAGUGAUGAGAGGAGCUCAUAGUGGAUUUCCUGAUGCCUCCUCCCACACACAUUCUCGAUCCUUUGGUCUCGAGCCAUUUUUCACUCAUGCAGCAAGUAUUGCUGAGUUCCUAUUAUAUUCCACACUCUGUUCUUGACACUAAAGAUACAGAAGUAAACAAGAUAUUCAUAAUUCUUCCUCUCUUUGUACCUGUUAUGUUCUAGUAGCAGAAACAGACACACAGGAAAUACAUAAAAUACAAGAUAGUUUCAGAUCAAGGGAAGUACUAGGAAGAAAAUAAAAGCAUGAAGAAAGAGAAAGGGAUCAGGACAGAAAGUUCCUUUCAAUGAGAGAGUCAGAGAAGAUAUUUAAACUAAGGUAGGAGUUCCCUGGCGGUAAGGGUCUGGCAUGGUCACUACUAUGGCUUGGGUCGUGGCUGUGGUGCAGGUUCAAUCCCUGGCCUGGGAACUUUCACAUGCCAAGGGUACAACCAAAAAAAGAAAAGAAAAGAAAGGAAUGAUGAGAACAAGGAAGGCAGGCCAAGUCCUGAGGAAGGGCCGUCCACUCAGAGGGGACAGGCAGCAAGUGCAAAGGUCCUGAGGCAGGCUUGGUGUGUUAGAGAAACUGAAAGGAACAAGAAAGUGGUGCCUCGGAAGCCGGGUGGAGGAGGAGAAUGUAGGUCAAGGUAACACAAGAGCAAUAAGGAGCUUUUAGAGAUGUAGGCAGGUUUUAAACAUGAUCUCACUUAUGUUUUUAAAAACAAGCAAUCAUCUGGCCACAACCUUAAGAAAUGACUUUGGGUGGCAGGGGAUGCAGGGAGUAGCAGGGAGCCAGUGAGGAGGCUUUCAUGGUUGUCCAGGUAAGAAGCAAUGGUGGUUUUGACUCGAAAAGACACAUGUUCUCCAAUGUUCAUGGCAGCACUAUUUGCAAUAGCCAAGACAUGGAAACAACCUAAAUGUCCAUCGACAGAGGAGCGGAUCAAGAAGAUGUGGUACAUCUACACAGUGGAAUAUUACUCAGCCAUUAAAAGGAGAGAUAACAGCAUUUUUAGCAACAUGGAUGGACCUAGAAAUUAUCAUGCUAAGUGAAGUCAGUCAGACAAUGAGACACCAACAUCAAAUGCUAUCAGUGACAUGUGGAAUCUUAAAAAGAGACACAAUGAACUUUUUGGCAGAACAGAUACUGACUCACAGACUUUGAAAACCUUAUGGUUUCCAAAUGAGACAGGUUGGGAGGUAGGGGGAUGCACUGAGGGUUUGGGAUGGACAGGCUGUAAAAUUUGGUUGUGAUGUUUGUUGUACACCUAUAAAUGUAAUAAAAUUUAUUCAGUAAUAAGAACAAAAGAAGCAUUGGUGGUUUAAACAAGAGCAGUGGCAGCAGAGGCGGAAGGAAGCAUGGGCUCUAUUUUGGAAUCAGAGACAACAGGAUGUUGUGAACCUGCCAGGGAAACAAGGGGUCCCAGCCAUGAGGACACAGGCCAGGGAGGCAGCUAUUUUCUUCCCAGCUUGACUCUGGUUUGGCCCUGCCUGAGCUGCCCACGCUCUGAGCCCUGCUCCCAUGGUAUCUACCUUUCGUCCCCCAUCCAGCCGCCAACCGUGGGUGGACAUCUGCUGCCCUGGAACCUUUCUCCUGCCUCCCUGCCUUCUGUAGCUAACACCUGCUUGCAGAGUUAUUUACCACCAUUCUCUCUCCUAGGGAUUUCUGCAGCGCCUGCCUCCGUCUGAAGACAUCUGCCUUCUAUUAACGUAAAGAAAAUACCAGCAGCCAGCUCCAGCUCUGCCCAGUGUUCUGCCAUCGGCAAAGGGACUUUGUGUGUGCUGCGUCUCCUUUGGGACUCAGACAUCGUCAUAAUGGCUAAUGUUUAUUGAGCACUCACGAGGCACCAGACCGAGCUAAGUGCUUCACUUGCGGUCAGGGGUUGAAUUGUGUUCCCGCAAAAGACAGGUGCAAGCCCUCACCCCCCAGUACCCGUGACAAUGCCCUUAUUUGGAAACAGGGUCUUGGCAGGUGGCAUCAAGUUAAGAUGAGGUCACUAGGGCAGGUCCUCAUCCCGUCUGACUGGUGACAUUAUAAAUAGAGAAGAGACAGACAGACGUGCAGAAGAAAGGCUGUGUUAGCAACAGAAGCAGAGAUUGCAGCAACGCUUUACAAAGCACAGAGCGCCUGCGUCUUACGCCCAAAGAUAUAACAUGCCUUGGGGCUAAGAACCAGGAGGUGGAACCAGGAACAGUUCCUCCCAGACCCCUGGAUUCCUAACUCCCUCCCCAACACAAGCUCGCCUCUCUCUCUCAUUCUUCCACAUCAGCGCCUCACUUUUUUAUUUUUUUAUUUUUCAUUUUUCAGCCUUGCCCACAACAUGCAGAAGUUCCGCUGGCUAGGGAUCCAACCCGCGCCCCAGCAGCGACCCAGGUUGCAGCAGUGACGAUGCCGGAUCCUUAAAUCGCUGCACCACAAGAGAACCCCAACGCCUCACUUUUGAACCGUGAUUACUGUCUAUAAAGAGUCUUCAGCUCACUUCUGCAUUCGCUGCUCCCAGAGCCCGUGAGGCAAGGUGGGAGACCCUCCACUCAGAAAGGAGGAAGCGGAGUCAGAGGCCAAGGGCAUCACCCAGCUCGGGACGCCAGACCCGAGCUGCCUCAUCCCUUUGGCCACUCUGACCCCUCUCCAAAGCCCCCACUGCGCGUCACCAGAAGGGCAGGUUCUUAGAGAUGCAAAGGGCCCGCCUGGGCCUUAGAGUCAGACAAGCCAAGCUGGAGGGGGCUGCUGGAGUCACCUAGUCCAAACCAUGUGCAAACAGAGAGCGAAACGCUGAAUAACCCAAAAGGAACCAGAGUGACUGCUUCAUAAAGCAUUCCAACCCCGUCAGAUAAAACAAUUUCCGAGUAUCGGGUUGUCAUCUAAAUUCCCGUUUCCGAGUUCCCAUUGUGGAGCAAUGGGAUCAGAAGCAUCUUGGGAGCUCUGGGAUCCAGAUCCCCAGCCCGCCCAGUGGGUUAAGGGCACAGCAUUGCCACAGCUGCGGUUUAGGUUGCGACUGUGGCUCAAAUCUA
rnacentral:lncRNA from 1 species